GUGCCAGCCGCCGCGGUACUACCGGCAGCUCAAGUGAUGUCCCAUAUUAUUGGGCCUAAAGCGUCCGUAGCUGGCCGACCAAGUCCGUCGGGAAAUCCACCUGCCCAACAGGCGGGCGUCCGGCGGAAACUGGCCGGCUUGGAACCGGAAGGCUCAGAGAGUACGUCCGGGGUAGGAGUGAAAUCCCGUAAUCCCGGACGGACUACCAAUGGCGAAAGCACUCUGAGAAGACGGCUUCGACAGUGAGGGACGAAAGCUCGGGUCUCAAACCGGAUUAGAAACCCUAGUAGUCC
rnacentral:rRNA from 1 species